rnacentral:rRNA from 1 species
AAGUCUGACGGAGCAACGCCGCGUGAGUGAUGAAGGUUUUCGGAUCGUAAAGCUCUGUUGUUAGGGAAGAACAAGUGCCGUUCAAAUAGGGCGGCACCUUGACGGUACCUAACCAGAAAGCCACGGCUAACUACGUGCCAGCAGCCGCGGUAAUACGUAGGUGGCAAGCGUUGUCCGGAAUUAUUGGGCGUAAAGGGCUCGCAGGCGGUUUCUUAAGUCUGAUGUGAAAGCCCCCGGCUCAACCGGGGAGGGUCAUUGGAAACUGGGGAACUUGAGUGCAGAAGAGGAGAGUGGAAUUCCACGUGUAGCGGUGAAAUGCGUAGAGAUGUGGAGGAACACCAGUGGCGAAGGCGACUCUCUGGUCUGUAACUGACGCUGAGGAGCGAAUUUUGUGGGGAGCGAACAGGAUUAGAUACCCUGGUAGUCCACGCCGUAAACGAUGAGUGCUAAGUGUUAGGGGGUUUCCGCCCCUUAGUGCUGCAGCUAACGCAUUAAGCACUCCGCCUGGG